rnacentral:tRNA from 1 species
GCCUCGGUGGCGAAAUUGGUAGACGCAAGGGACUUAAAAUCCCUCGACUGUAAGGUCAUGCCGGUUCGAUUCCGGCCCGAGGCACCA